CUGAAGGGCGCGUCCGGGUCAAUUGCGGACUGCAACACCCGAUCUCCCUCAAUGUCCCUCCGAAAAUGGAGGUCGACGAGGGGGAGCGCGUGACCGUCAG
rnacentral:ncRNA from 1 species